CAAGCACAUUAAUACAGAUGUGAAGGGAAGGACAAGAUGUGGCGUCUCGACUGGGUUAAAGACAACAAAGACUGGACUGCUGCUGGCUGGUCCAAAGUUAUGUUCUCUGGUGAAAGUAAAUUUUGCAUUUCCUUUGGAAAUCAAGGUCUCAGAGUCUGGAGGAAGAGAGGAGAGGCCCAGAAUCCACGUUGCUUGAGGUCCAGUGUAAAGUUUCCACAGUCCGUAAAGGUUUGGGGUGUCAUGUCAUCUGCUGCAAUCUUAUGGGUUGGCUUAAUGAACUGACCUGUAUUGGAAUAUUUACUUUGUGAAGUGCCUUGAGACGACUCUUGUCCUGAUUUGGUGCUAUAUACAUAAACUGAGUGAAAUCUGUGUUGGUCAAUUGUGUUUUCUGAGGUCAAAGGUCAACGCAGCCAUCUAUCAGGAAGUUUUAGAGCAGCUCACCUGACCUUAACCAAACAGAAAAUCUAUGGGGUAACGUGAAGAGGAAGGUGCAGUACGCCAGACCCAACAAUUCAGAAGAGCUGAAGGCCACCAUCAGAGCAACACGGGCUCUUACAACACCUGAGGGGGGCUCAGAUGCAACCUAGCAUGUAAAUUAGCAGAAUUCCACAUUAGAGGAGAGCUUAACAGGAUUUGGAGUCUUAUUUCCUGAUAUUUGGACAUCUCUCCUCUGAUUGGCUAACAGCAACACCACUCCACCACUCAAUCUGUUUGCUUUGCAACGUUGAUGUUUUAUCUCCACAAAUAACUGAAGCCUGGAGGAGCUCUGAUUCUCUGCUGUUUCCUGGACGCUAAAUCAACAACAGCCUUCCCUGUCGUGAGUCAAGAAGAAGAAAACAACGGUCGAGCUCCAAUGGCAGUGCCUGGGAACUUUCCACCUAUCUGGAGAGAUAAACACACAACAUCAUCCAUGAGUGGUUCUAACAUCAGGCAGAGGGAUACUCGUGUCCUGAAGAAACCUGUAGCCUGUUGAACCCACUGAAAAACAGAGCUGUUUUCCUGCUGGGUUUCCUGGUUCCAGCCUGUUCCUUUCUCCUCCUGGCCCUGAUGCCGGCUCCUCAUGGCUUCCUGGGAUGUCCCUCUCUCCUGAUACCAUCUCAUGUCCCCCCUCACUUUCCCUUAUCUCAUUUUCCUCACUGCUGCUGCUGCUUUCCUCAUUCUCUGAAAUUAUAAUGGCACUGUUAGAAUAAAGAAUCAUUUUUAAAUAAAAUACAUACAAAUGUCUUAAUAUUUCUAAAGAUUCGUACCACAGUUUACUUGAGUACACUGUGUGUGGUCACUGGUCAGUAACUGGAUCAACAUGCAGUGGUUCUGCGGGGUCCUUCCUCCUCCUUGGUUCAGGGCGAUGAACAAACAGCAUCAGCCCUGAGUCUCACCUCACCUCGCCUAGUCUUAGUAAACUGUGCCUCCUCUACAUGUGCCUGUAGAGUGGUGUAUUAGUUUAUGUCCUGCCACAUUUAACAGUUAAAUUGCAGCCUUGUGCAGUUGAGAGCAGAACAUGUAGAGCCUUGAUAGAAAACAUGUGAGAGUGCGCAUUAAACUCGCUGCACACAGAUUUUUGUUAUUGCGAUCUCUGGUCAUGGUGAGGUUGCUCCUGCUGACUUGAGCCAACCAUUUUCUUCUUCUCUCUGCGUCUUUGGGGGAGCCAUAAUUCUGGUUCCUCCCUCAGACUGAUUGCUACAUCCAUAUGCAGCGCAGCCAACCAUUAUUAAAAUACUAGAGGUGUAAUUUUAUCCAACCC